rnacentral:rRNA from 1 species
CCUACGGGGGGCAGCAGUGAGGAAUAUUGGUCAAUGGGCGAGAGCCUGAACCAGCCAAGUCGCGUGAGGGAGUACUGCCCUAUGGGUUGUAAACCUCUUUUGUCGGGGAGCAAAAGCCGGACGUGUCCGGCUGUGAGAGUACCCGAAGAAAAAGCAUCGGCUAACUCCGUGCCAGCAGCCGCGGUAAUACGUAGGGGGCAAGCGUUAUCCGGAUUUACUGGGGGUAAAGGGAGCGUAGACGGUGAGACAAGUCUGAAGUGAAAGCCCGGGGCUCAACCCCGGGACUGCUUUGGAAACUGCCUGACUGGAGUGCUGGAGAGGCAAGCGGAAUUCCUAGUGUAGCGGUGAAAUGCGUAGAUAUUAGGAAGAACACCAGUGGCGAAGGCGGCUUGCUGGACAGUAACUGACGUUGAGGCUCGAAAGCGUGGGGAGCAAACAGGAUUAGAUACCCCUGUAGUC